rnacentral:lncRNA from 1 species
GAAUAAAGGAGUCAGUCUCCCCACCACCACCCUUGGGGCAAAAGGGACCUGGAUAGGAGGGUUGAUUCUUUGUUAUUCCGGCCCUACUCUUACCCCUCCCAGCUUUUGAGUGUCCUGGAGAAAUGAGAAUCUGAGUCGAUGGUAGUCACCAAUCUGCACUCUGUUCCCAGGACGUCGUUGGAGAACUGUGGGCUCACCUCUGAGGUUGAGAGGGGGUGCCCAUACCUAGCUCCUUCCCCAUUUUUAAUGCCCGUCCCUCACCCCUAUUGGUUCAGGGACAGCGGCUCAACCUGGGAGAAGGACAGAGUUAGGAGGGCGAAUGGAAGCGUGGUCAGGGAGGGCCUGGUUGCUCCCGGAGAGCCCCUGUUUGAGCCUGGCCCCCGCCCCAGGCACCGGCUCCCCUCCCUCCGCCUGAUUCAUCUUUUGUUUCAUUGCCUUCCCUGGCACCGGGCAUCGCUUCCUUCCUUCCUUCCUCCUCCUCCUUUGGGCCCUUAGCAUUAACCCCUUCGUGCUCUGGGUGCCCCCCAGAGAGGUGCCCAAGAGGAGCUGUGCGGGAUCAAGGCUGCUGGAAAAAGGAUUGGGGUGGCGGGGGUUGCGCGAAGUACAAUGGCCAUUAUCCGGGAUGACUUAACCGAGCGAGAAUCCUGAGCCCAGGCCGGGAACGCGCUGGGAGAAGCGGACUCAGCAGCUCCGGCCACAAAGGCGCUUUUCAGCCGCCCCGGCUCAGGGAGAGGAAAGGGCAGAAAGCCGCGCCCCCAAUCCCUGCUCCGUCCGGAUGCAGCCCAGAAGGGCGUGGGAGUAGCACCUGAGAAUAACGGUCUCCUUGUGCGGAUCUGGGGAGCCCCCUGCAGGGUGGCAACCAGAGGAAAGGGCCACAAUGUUCCACGGCCAAGGAGGAAAGAAGGAAUGCCCCUUUUCCCAUCUCUAGGUGAAGCUGGACUCACCCACCUGGGCUGCCAUAGGAAAACGGAGGAGCUGGCAGUGCCCCGGCGCAGGCAUCUAAUAGCUGCUGUUUUUCAAAUGAAUGACUUCUCAGUUGGAAGCUGCUGAAGGGCAGUGGACACUCAAAAGUCUUUGUAAGAGGUACAGAAACAAGGCCAUGAAUAUAAGGAGGAGUCAGGGGACAAGCCAGCUUUAAGCAAGACUGAGGAUGGAGGAGUUUCC